UACGAAGGGGGCGAGCGUUGUUCGGAUUUACUGGGCGUAAAGGGCGCGUAGGCGGCCGAUCAAGUCAGGCGUGAAAGCCCCGGGCUCAACCUGGGAAUGGCGCUUGGGACUGGUUGGCUUGGAGUUCGGGAGAGGAGAGUGGAAUUCCCAGUGUAGAGGUGAAAUUCGUAGAUAGUUGGGAAGAACACCGGUGGCGAAGGCGGCUCUCUGGACCGAGACUGACGCUGAGGCGCGAAAGCGUGGGGAGCAAACAGG
rnacentral:rRNA from 1 species